rnacentral:rRNA from 1 species
GAUGAACGCUAGCGGCAGGCUUAAUACAUGCAAGUCGAGGGGCAUCAAGGUACACGAAAGUGUAUUGUUGGCGACCGGCGGACGGGUGAGUAAUAGGUAGGUAACCUACCUCAUACUGAGGCAUAGCUGGGAGAAAUUCCAGGUAAUUCCUCAUGAGGUUAUAUGACACAUGUGAUAUAAUCAAAGGCAUCGCAAGGUACUGGUAUGAGAUGGGCUUACUGACCAUUAGCUAGUUGGUGAGAUAAGAGCUCACCAAGGCGAAGAUGGUUAGGGGUUUUGAGAGAGAGAUCCCCCAAUUGGAACUGAGAUACGGUCCAGACUCCUACGGGAGGCAGCAGUAGGGAAUAUUGGGCAAUGGGCGGAAGCCUGACCCAGCCAUGCCGCGUGAAGGAAGACGGCCUUAUGGGUUGUAAACUUCUUUACUAUGCGACUAACUAGAUUUACGAGAUAAUUCUAUAGAAUGUAGCAUAGC